UUCCCUUUGUUAUCCUAUGCCUGGACUCAAAAAAGGGGCUGGGAGGGCAAAGGGUUGC
rnacentral:pre_miRNA from 1 species